GACGAACGCUGGCGGCGUGCUUAACACAUGCAAGUCGAACGAUGAACCCGGAGCUUGCUCCGGUGGAUUAGUGGCGAACGGGCGAGUAACACGUGAGUAACCUGCCCUUUACUCUGGGAUAACUGCGGGAAACUGUAGCUACUACCGGAUACUACCCUCUGCGGCAUCGCCAGGGGGUGGAAAGAAUUUCGGUCAAGGAUGGACUCGCGGCCUAUCAUCUAGUUGGUGAGGUAACGGCUCACCAAGGCGACGACGGGUAGCCGGCCUGAGAGGGUGACCGGCCACACUGGGACUGAGACACGGCCCAGACUCCUACGGGAGGCAGCAGGGGGGAAUAUUGCACAAUGGGCGCAAGCCUGAUGCAGCAACGCCGCGUGAGGGAUGACGGCCUUCGGGUUGUAAACCUCUUUUAGUAGGGAAGAAGCGAAAGUGACGGUACCUGCAGGAAAAGCACCGGCUAACUACGUGCCAGCCGCCGCCGUAA
rnacentral:rRNA from 1 species